UGAGUACGAGCUGCUACGGCAGCGAAGUGGGUGAUGUCAAGCUUCCAAGAAAAGCCCUAUACCCGUUAAGGCAUGAUGGCCUGUACCCGAAACCGACACAGGUGGGGUGGUAGAGAAUACCGAGGGGCGCGAGAUAACUCUCUCUAAGGAACUCGGCAAAAUGGCCCCGUAACUUCGGGAGAAGGGGUGCCACCGCAAGGUGGUCGCAGUGAAGAGGCCCAGGCGACUGUUUACCAAAAACACAGGUCUCCGCUAAGUCGCAAGACGAUGUAUGGGGGCUGACGCCUGCCCAGUGCCGGAAGGUUAAGGAAGCUGGUCAGCGUAAGCGAAGCUAGCGACUGAAGCCCCGGUGAACGGCGGCCGUAACUAUAACGGUCCUAAGGUAGCGAAAUUCCUUGUCGGGUAAGUUCCGACCCGCACGAAAGGCGUAACGAUCUGGGCGCUGUCUCGGAGAGAGGCUCGGCGAAAUAGAAUUGUCUGUGAAGAUGCGGACUACGUGCACCCGGACAGAAAGACCCUAUGAAGCUUUACUGUAGCUUGGUAUUGUGCCCGGGCUCUGAAUGCGCAGGAUAGGUGGGAGGCUUUGAUCCAUUGCUUGUGGGUGAUGGUGAGCCAACGGUGAGAUACCACUCUUUCAGAGCUAGGGUUCUAACGGUCACCCGUCAUCCGGGGACCGGACAGUAUCAGGUGGGCAGUUUGACUGGGGCGGUCGCCUCCUAAAAGGUAACGGAGGCGCGCAAAGGUUUGCUCAGGCUGGUUGGAAAUCAGCCGACGAGUGUAAAAGCAGAAGCAAGCUUGACUGUGAGACCUACAAGUCGAACAGGGACGAAAGUCUGCUUUAGUGAUCCGACGGUUCUGAGUGGAAGGGCCGUCGCUCAACGGAUAAAAGUUACUCUAAGGAUAACAGGCUGAUCUCCCCCAAGAGUUCACAUCGACGGGGAGGUUUGGCACCUCGAUGUCGGCUCAUCGCAACCUGGGGCUGAAGUCGGUCCCAAGGGUUGGGCUGUUCGCCCAUUAAAGCGGUACGCGAGCUGGGUUCAGAACGUCGUGAGACAGUUCGGUCCAUAUCCGGUGCAUGCGCAGGAAUAUUGAGAGGAUUUCUCCCUAGUACGAGAGGACCGGGAGGAACGCACCUCUGGUGUGCCAGUUAUCGUGCCAACGGUAAACGCUGGGUAGCCAUGUGCGGAGAGGAUAACCGCUGAAAGCAUCUAAGUGGGAAGCCCACCUCAAGAUGAGUAUUCCCAUGGCGUUAGCCAGUAAGGUCACGGGCAGAACACCCGUUGAUAGGCUCUACGUGGAAGCCGGGUAACCGGUGAAGCGGAGGAGUACUAAUAGACCGAGGGCUUGAC
rnacentral:rRNA from 1 species